CAGCAGCCACGGGAAUACGUAGGUGGCGAGCGUUGUCCGGAAUUAUUGGGCGUAAAGGGCUCGCAGGCGGUUUCUUAAGUCUGAUGUGAAAGCCCCCGGCUCAACCGGGGAGGGUCAUUGGAAACUGGGAAACUUGAGUGCAGAAGAGGAGAGUGGAAUUCCACGUGUAGCGGUGAAAUGCGUAGAGAUGUGGAGGAACACCAGUGGCGAAGGCGACUCUCUGGUCUGUAACUGACGCUGAGGAGCGAAAGCGUGGGGAGCGAACAGGAUUAGAUACCCCAGUAGUCCCUGUCUCUUAUAA
rnacentral:rRNA from 1 species